GCAUUGCUGACGAGUCCCAAACAGAACGAAAUAGCUGUUGUUCAGUAC
rnacentral:hammerhead_ribozyme from 1 species